UCGUCGUGUCGACGACCACCUCAGAGUCCGCAACCAGGUCGGUCCCCUCGAACAGCUUCACCCUGAGGAACCGGACCACCAGAGACAGACCAGGAAACUGUAACCAAACUGAGCUCAAGCUGACCUGAAGUCUGGACAAACAGAUCUGCUGGUCCAGACCCUCCAGACUGUGUGCUGGACCAGCAGCACCAGGAGGAACUAGUUCUGUCAGUCAGACAGAACCAGGUUUGGUUCUGGACCUCAACAGGUCUCUGUGGCUCUGGGUCUGAUCUGCAUAUCAACAGGACAGAUUCCUGCCAAGGCUGCUGUCGCCAUGGAGACGAGUACAAUGGAGGACCGGACCGGACCGGACCGGACCAGACGAGUCUGAGAGAGAAGGAAUGUGUGAGAGACAAAAAACAAACAAGUGGACAA